UGCAGUCGACGCUGAAGCACCAGCUUGCUGGUGUGGAUGAGUGGCGAACGGGUGAGUAAUACGUGAGUAACCUGCCCUUGACUCUGGGAUAAGCCCGGGAAACUGGGUCUAAUACUGGAUGCUACAUGUCACCGCAUGGUGGUGUGUGGAAAGGGUUUACUGGUCUUGGAUGGGCUCACGGCCUAUCAGCUUGUUGGUGAGGUAAUGGCUCACCAAGGCGACGACGGGUAGCCGGCCUGAGAGGGUGACCGGCCACACUGGGACUGAGACACGGCCCAGACUCCUACGGGAGGCAGCAGUGGGGAAUAUUGCACAAUGGGCGAAAGCCUGAUGCAGCGACGCCGCGUGAGGGAUGACGGCCUUCGGGUUGUAAACCUCUUUCAGCAGGGAAGAAGCCACAAGUGACGGUACCUGCAGAAGAAGCGCCGGCUAACUACGUGCCAGCAGCCGCGGUAAUACGUAGGGCGCAAGCGUUGUCCGGAAUUAUUGGGCGUAAAGAGCUCGUAGGCGGUUUGUCGCGUCUGCUGUGAAAGCCCGGGGCUUAACCCCGGGUGUGCAGUGGGUACGGGCAGACUAGAGUGCAGUAGGGGAGACUGGAAUUCCUGGUGUAGCGGUGGAAUGCGCAGAUAUCAGGAGGAACACCGAUGGCGAAGGCAGGUCUCUGGGCUGUUACUGACGCUGAGGAGCGAAAGCAUGGGGAGCGAACAGGAUUAGAUACCCUGGUAGUCCAUGCCGUAAACGUUGGGCACUAGGUGUGGGGGACAUUCCACGUUUUCCGCGCCGUAGCUAACGCAUUAAGUGCCCCGCCUGGGGAGUACGGCCGCAAGGCUAAAACUCAAAGGAAUUGAC
rnacentral:rRNA from 1 species